UAAUACGGAGGGGGCGAGCGUUAUUCGGAAUUAUUGGGCGUAAAGGGCGCGUAGGCGGCUUGAUAAGUCAAAGGUGAAAUCCCUCGGCUCAACUGAGGAACUGCCUUUGAAACUGUCGGGCUUGAGGCCGGGAGGGGGUAGCGGAAUUCCCAGUGUAGCGGUGAAAUGCGUAGAUAUUGGGAGGAACACCGGUGGCGAAGGCGGCUACCUGGACCGGUUCUGACGCUGAGGCGCGAAAGCGUGGGUAGCAAACAG
rnacentral:rRNA from 1 species